rnacentral:tRNA from 1 species
GGCCCCGUAGCUCAGGGGAUAGAGCAACAGCCUUCUAAGCUGUGGGUCGCGCGUUCGAAUCGCGCCGGGGUCGCCA